CUUUAAAAAUUAAAAAAAUUUGACAUCAAGUCAGAAUAGAAUUUUCAAAAAUUUUUGAAAUGGAACCAAUACUUUUACAUUUAAUACUUUCAAUUGAAGUGUGAGAUCAACACUGAAAAGUAUUAAAGAUGUACGAAUCCUAUAGUUUCAAAUAUUCCGUUAAGAUUUAAUUUAAUUUUAUAUGUAAAAAUAAACAAGCACCCCAUCUCAUUAGCAUAAAAAAGCAGAUUAAACACUUCCCAUAUACAAUGCCACAUGAUAUACAUUACUAUUCCAAAAGGGAGGAAAGGAAGCAUUAUGAAGAAAUAUUGGAACAAAACAAGGCUGAAAAGAAGGUGCUGUCUACAUGCUGAGUUUACACACUGAUUGUUACUUUCUUCAUGAAGUCAGUUGUGCUAUGUUCUGGGGGCCAAUUAAGGAAACCUCUGAUGGAAAGCCAGAAAGUCUGUAUUUAAUGUCUUUAAAUCCUCGAGCAACCUGGUCUAGGUAAGUUCCUUUUAUAAUCAAAGAUGAGUUGACUUACCUCUGUCAAUGAGAGUUGAAAAACACAUCUUUCAGGUCUAAGACAGCAUGCAUCAUUGUGUGUGCUCAUGUGUGUGUGU